rnacentral:rRNA from 1 species
UGGGGAAUAUUGCACAAUGGGCGCAAGCCUGAUGCAGCCAUGCCGCGUGUGUGAAGAAGGCCUUCGGGUUGUAAAGCACUUUCAGCGAGGAGGAAGGUGGUGAGCUUAAUACGCUCAUCAAUUGACGUUACUCGCAGAAGAAGCACCGGCUAACUCCGUGCCAGCAGCCGCGGUAAUACGGAGGGUGCAAGCGUUAAUCGGAAUUACUGGGCGUAAAGCGCACGCAGGCGGUUUGUUAAGUCAGAUGUGAAAAUCCCCGGGCUCAACCUGGGAACUGCAUUUGAAACUGGCAAGCUAGAGUCUCGUAGAGGGGGUAGAAUUCCAGGUGUAGCGGUGAAAUGCGUAGAGAUCUGGAGGAAUACCGGUGGCGAAGGCGGCCCCCUGGACGAAGACUGACGCUCAGGUGCGAAAAGCGUGGGGAGCAAAACAGGAUUAGAUACCCUGGUAGUCCACGCUGUAAAACGAUGUCGAUUUUGGAGGUUGUGCCCUUGAGGCGUGGCUUCCGGAGCUAACG